ensembl:lncRNA
ACCAUUUAGCAUCUCAUUAAGUGGGCAGUCUGAAGUGUGCUCAGAGAAAACUUAAAUUCUGCUAUUUGGUUUGUAAUUGUGGCCCUAGGCUUGAUAGGAGGUAGUACCAGGGACUCAUCACUAAGUUCUUACCUAAAGAAGACAUCUGUGAGCCUUGAUAACUUCGUUGGCGUCAAGGUGAGAGAACAAGAAGGAAAUAACAGGAAAACUGGCAAGGAAAGCAGUGCGAGGCUGAGCUUCCUGGUCUCACUCUGCAAACAGGUCACUUCUCAGUCAUGCACCAGCAGGCUGUCAGGAGGAGCAAAGAACUCUGUUGAGCCUUUCACAUGUAAACUAUGGAAACAAAGCAACCUCUCUGAAAUGAAGAGAUGAAACGAGCACAGUGGGGUGGAAGCUCCUCUAACUCAGCAUACUACCUUCUCUUUGCUCCCAUCCCUCUCUUUGGAUCCCCUCCGGGUCCUUCUUGUGUGAUUUUUGUCUGUUUCUUUAGUUCUGAUCAAAGAAAAUGAGAUCCAUUCUUUUUUUGUGGAAUCUAUGACUUUAAGGGGUGUUUAUUUGAGUUUUCUCAGUGGAUUUUUUUUUCUUUUGGUGGUUUGUUAUUGUUUUCCCCAGAAGGCAGACUGUCAGUUAACAGUUAUGUUAACAUCAAACUGAACAAGUCCAUGACAGGAAAAUGCUAGUGUGUCCAUGAACUUUUCCUUACUAAGCUCCUUUACAUCUUCAUGCUGCACAUUGCUGUAACAGCUAAAGCAGAUAACAUCUUGCUGAGUUCUUUGAGGUUUUCCUUGAUGCAGCUAAAGAUUUUCAAGAAAUUGCCCUGAAACUUUCUGCCCCUUGCACAAAUUGCCUUGUAUCUAAAGCACAGUUGCCCAACCUUUUGGCUUGCCUGGGUCACAUUGGGUGAAGAAAUUGUCUUGUACUGCAUAUGAAAUAUAUUCUUAAUGUCUAUAAGCAGCAAAACUUAUUCUAGUUAUUUACUGUUUUUAUAAAAACACAAAAAAGAGAGCAACAACAAUGUAAAACAAGUGGGAUGUUCGACCUUGGUUGUGUGAAACUAGCACAUCAGUCUGGUUUGAUGGCAGUGGUUGCAAUUCUUAGUGAGUU